UUACCUGUGAGGGUUGGUCUGAAGGAAGCGGGACUGCAAACACCUGAACUGACGAAUACUCUUGAGCACGGGAGUGCGAAGAGAGUAUUCGUAGUGCUGCAUAAGAGGCAUGGUAGCGCGGGUAAGCAAGCACAUCUUUGCGAUGCCCCUGGCCAACAAACGGCUCUUUAUAGAAGCAGCAGGGUUAGGUGGAAGGAUAAGUGU
rnacentral:ncRNA from 1 species